GGCCCUUAUGGUCCAGGGCUACACACGUGUUACAAUGGCCGGUACAGAGGGCAGCUACCUGGUGACAGGAUGCUAAUCUCGAAAACCGGUCUCAGUUCGGAUCGAAGUCUGCAACUCGACUUCGUGAAGCUGGAUUCGCUAGUAAUCGCGCAUCAGCCAUGGCGCGGUGAAUACGUUCCCGGGCCUU
rnacentral:rRNA from 1 species